rnacentral:rRNA from 1 species
UACGGGGGGGGCAAGCGUUGUUCGGAAUUACUGGGCGUAAAGGGCUCGUAGGCGGCUGAACAAGUCAAAGGUGAAAUCCCUCGGCUCAACUGAGGAACUGCCUUUGAAACUGUUCGGCUUGAGGCCGGGAGGGGGUAGCGGAAUUCCCAGUGUAGCGGUGAAAUGCGUAGAUAUUGGGAGGAACACCAGUGGCGAAGGCGGCUACCUGGACCGGUUCUGACGCUGAGGCGCGAAAGCGUGGGUAGCAAACAGG